rnacentral:rRNA from 1 species
GCAAAACGCGAAGAACCUUACCUAGGCUUGACAUGCAUCUCUAAGCACGUGAAAGCGUGUGACCCUUCGGGGAAUUUGCACAGGUGCUGCAUGGCCGUCGUCAGCUCGUGUCGUGAGAUGUUGGGUUAAGUCCCGCAACGAGCGCAACCCUUGUGACUAGUUGCCAGCACGUUAUGGUGGGAACUCUAGUCAGACUGCCCAGAUCAACUGGGAGGAAGGUGGGGACGACGUCAGGUCAGUAUGGCCCUUACGCCUAGGGCUGCACACGUACUACAAUGCCCAGCACAAUGAGAACCGAGACCGCGAGGUGGAGGAAAUCUAAAAAACUGGGCCCAGUUCGGAUUGGAGGCUGCAACUCGCCUCCAUGAAGUUGGAAUCGCUAGUAAUGGCGCAUCAUCUACGGCGCCGUGAAUACGUUCCCGGGUCUUGUACACACCG